rnacentral:rRNA from 1 species
AAUAUCUAAAAUAUACUUAUAUAGUAGUUUACGAAGUUUAGUGAGCUAAAUAUUUAAAAAUAUAUUAGUUAUUUGUAAAAUUUAAUGUAGCAUAAUUAAAGUAAUAUAAAUAUUUAGGGGUGAAAGGCUUAUCAAACUGGACGAUAUCUUGAUUUAUGGGAAAUAUAUUAAGUAUAAUUUACAAACUAUAAAUAUUAAGGUUUUUAGUUUAAUUAUGAUUUAGAUGUGUAUUUGGUUGUAUAUAUAAUAGUUUCAACAUAUAAACUAUAAUAUUUCUUACAUAUUGUAUCUAAUAUUAUACCUUAAAUUUACUUUUAUCUACAUAAAUUAAUGUAUAAUGAUAUUAUCAGUAAUAUAUAAAAUAAUGUUUAGGAACUCGGCAAAUUAAUUUCUCAACUGUUUAUCAAAAACAUUGCUUUAAGUACUUAUUUAGAGUUCAACCUGCUCAAUGAGAUAUUAAAUAGCCGCAGUACUGUGACUGUGCAAAGGUAGCAUAAUCAGUUGGCUUAUAAUUGAAGUCUAGUAUGAAUGGGAAAGUGGGUAAUAACUGUCUUAAUGUUAUAUAUUUAAAUUAUUUAGUAAGUGAAAAUACUUACAGAUAGAUAAUAGACGAGAAGACCCUAGAAAUUUUUUAUAAAUAUUAAUACAUUCUAUUUUGUUGGGGCGACAAGGUAACAUUUUUUAACUUACCUGGAUACACGAAAUAUAUAAAUUGAAAGAUUAAAUUACUCUAGGGAUAACAGCAUUAUUUAUUAAAAAGUUUGUGACCUCGAUGUUGGACUAGGAAAUAAUAUAUUUAGAAGAUAUAUAUAUAGGCUCUGUUCGAGCUAUACUCUCCUACAUGAUCUGAGUUCAGACCGG